UACGAAGGGGGCUAGCGUUGCUCGGAAUCACUGGGCGUAAAGGGUGCGUAGGCGGGUCUUUAAGUCAGGGGUGAAAUCCUGGAGCUCAACUCCAGAACUGCCUUUGAUACUGAAGAUCUUGAGUUCGGGAGAGGUGAGUGGAACUGCGAGUGUAGAGGUGAAAUUCGUAGAUAUUCGCAAGAACACCAGUGGCGAAGGCGCUCACUGGCCCGAUACUGACGCUGAGGCACGAAGGCCAGGGGAGCAAACGGG
rnacentral:rRNA from 1 species